AUGGGUGGUGGAGCAGGAGAGGUUCAUCGCCGGUGCCCUUGUCGCCGAACGGCCAUCCUUGCUGCGCUUGAUGGAGGACAGAACGAGAAACAUUUUCUGGUGGCAAAGGCGUCCAAUCCAACUCAGGUGGAGGCCAAGGAGGUUCGGCUCUCGGACCUUACACCAAUGAUGCUGGAUGAUACCGACGUGGAGACUCUGAAGAAGGGAGGUCUAUUUGAGAUUAAGGGAGCUGACAGUUUUCAGGUUGAUGUCGAGAUAGAUUUUGAACUGACAUCAAUCGACAUCGCCGUUCCUUUCGAUCCUUCUUGA
rnacentral:rRNA from 1 species